rnacentral:lncRNA from 1 species
CCUUCAAUGGUAAACCCUUAUCUGUUUGUGCGACCACCGUUCCAUUCGCCAUCGGCUGUGACAUUGUCGAGGAUUCGCAGGCCUCCCCUGUAGCUCUCUCUGGUUUUUCCAUUGUGACGCAUAUGGUAAGAUUUUUAAACCAAUUUCAUCACUGUUUCCAUGCAUAGUUAACAAGAUGUGAAACUGGACUUCAUGGAAUUGAUUUCUUUGGUGAUUAAGCUGAUUUCCCCUAAUUGAUUCUAGCAUAGUAGCAUUUUUGAAUAUUUUCUUAGGUGUUGUAGUGACCAAUUAACCUUAUCAACCUCUAGCAGUAACUACAAUAGCCAAAUAGAAGACAAAAAUGCCAUUACUUCUUCUGUUGGUUUAUUUCCCACAACUUCACCAUACUUCUAUUCUGAUGCCAAUUUUGCUUAUAAUGAGUGUUUAUCGAGAAUAUCUGAAAUCUAGAACUAGGCGCCAAAAAUAUAGAGAUUAGCAUAAAUGUGGUGAGGAUUGUCUAGUUACGAAUUUGGGACUGGUGUGGCCUAAUUCAAGGUUUGCUUGUGGAUGAUGGUACCUUGUAAACAACUUAAUUUACUUGUGAAUCUGAUAUGUUUGUUGAUAAUUGAAGAAGCAGAUAAGUGGUAGGAUUUAGAAAUAUUAGAAGUGGAAUGCAUGGACUAGUAAAACCGUAUGGUUUAUUACAUUGAUGGUUAGUACAACACUUAAGUCUUAGUGUUGCCACACAUACAUGGUGAGGCACUAAUGCCUAUUUAUAGCUGGAGUCACCGCCUUGAUUUUGGCGGUUUAUUAUAUGAUACAAUUGGAUCAUUCUAGAGUUUAGAAACAUCAAAAUAGUCUAUGUGCUUUCUAUAAUAGUGUAGAUUUUAAAAGAUAAUUCUAGAAAUUUGCAUCAAUUCUUAACAAUGUUUAACCUCUUACAUUUUCCUUCAAUGUAUACAUCUUAGCAAGCUAUCUCUAUGGUGGAGAUUUUGUAUGAUAAUUCGAUUAGCUCAUUAAGUUAAUUCAAUCAUGUUUCUGGGAAAUAACUUUUUGGUAUUUAAAUUAUUUCUGUAGCAUAGUCUUUAGGUUGAUUCUACUGCUUAAAUGAAAAUAUUCUGUCUGUGCUUUUUCCUUGCUUCAACUUGGGUGUGUGUUAAAAGCUUGCUCCUGUGGAUGUUGACAUGGCAAGGUUCUUGCUAACAAUCAGAAAUGUUUAUGUGCUCUUAUUUUAAAUGGUUGAACUCACUGGACAAGUUUUUGAAGUAAUAAAGUAAGAAACAAUUUUUUUAAAAAGGAUAUAAUUCUUGAAGAAGUCAAUUUAAUGUGAAGCUUAAAGAUUAGGAGGAGUGAUUUCAUUUGAUUAGCUCAUAGUUCUGAGUUUAUCUAAUGCUGGUUAUAGGUAUUAUGAUUACAUUUACUUGUAUAGACUGACUAAUUUAUUUCCUAUAUACAUUAGACCCCCAAAGUAUAAGCAAGAUAUCACACACACAGAAAUGGGGAUGAUGAGAAGAAAAAGAAUAUUGUUUUUGUUUCUAAUGACCAGAUGAGGAAUUGGGUGAAUGAGAUAGAACAUUAUGCUAUUCUGGUCAACAUACUGGUCUGGUCAAAUCUAAAAUCUUGUAGGCCACCUUUGAUCUGGGGUCUGUUAUGAUCGUGAAAGAUUAGCAAACCCUAACAUUGGUAGUUGCUUUGUUUCUUUGUUGGUUGUAUGUUUCUGGCUUCUUUUGAUAUGAAAAUAUUAUUUUUUGCAAGAGUUAAUCGCUUUAAUAUUUUUUUUCAGUAACACCUAGCAAAUUGAAAUGAGAGAGUUCUGCUUUGAAUUAUCUAUUUGGUUGGCAGUAAUUAGUAUGUCUAUGAAAUUUAACUUUCUCUGUUUUCCUUGGACUUCAUGGCAUAAGAAAAGUUCACAUAGGCGGUUAAAAAGGCAUAAAGCCACAUAAAAAUUAACUUGAACUCUUUGGCAUUUAAUUUAUCUUCUUUUCUACUUUCAGUACUCUAUGAAGACCCGGAACUUUAAAAUUAGAGCCACAUGGAAAUUUCAUCAUCCUAGAGACCAAGUUGGGAACUGAGAUCGCUGGAAGAGUUGCCUUAAGCAUUUUCACUGUGGUGUGAGAGUGUUGGCGGUUCACAGUCAAUGAUGUCAUGCUCAUAUCAUGGUCACUUCGGGUAAUUAACUUCAAAUAUUUUCAUUUUCUAUUUGCUUAUAUAUAGUUUCAUGAGAAUUUCUCAAAACUUAUGAAAAAGAUGGGAGUGUUUAGGUCACGGGUUCUUAAAUUAAGGUCUUGUUUUCUAGUUGUCGGUAUGUUUGGAUUGACAGAACAUAACAGAGCAGAACGAAUUGAAAUAUAAUGGAACAGAUAGAGCGGAAUGAAAUGGAAUAAAAAUCUCAUCCCAUUGUUUGGGUAUUUUAUGAUAACACGAAACAAAAUCACCACUCCCUUAUUUGGAUAAUGGACGGAGCGGAAUGAGUUAUAACUUUUUUAUUCCUAUAUUACCUUUCUUUAAAUAAUAAAAUUCUCAUUAAAUUAUUAAAAUGAUUAACAAAAUAAUUUUUUAGAGGAAUUAACAAAAUCAUUAUCCUUGCUAAACUCUCAUUAUAUCUAUUUACUCAAAUUAAAUUAUAUCCUCAUCAUUUAUCUACAGUAAACUAUACUAGUAUAUGCCAAUAUUUUUUUAUAAAACGUACUGAACAUAAUAGAACACUAUCGAAAAAAGUAAACGAAAAAUAAAAGAAUGCAACAGUUGGAAAAAAAAAUAGUUUGUUGACAAAUAAAAGAAUAUGUAUACAUUAGUAUUAAUAAUUAAAUAUGAACAGUAUCAUUAUAUUACCUUUCGUAAGCUGUAAUGUUUUAUUUUUGCUAGAUAUGUUAAAAUAAUGUUGGAACUUGGUUGUUUGUGUGAGGGGAGAGAGUAGAGACUCACGGAGAGAGAGUGGGAGAGAGUGGGAGAGACUAUUAAGUUAAGGGCUAGAAAUCUAGAAUUGUAAAUUGAUAAUUUUUAUAAGUGUAAAAUCUUGAUUUCAUCCCAUACCUUCCAAAUUGAGGGAAGCAAAAUGAUGGAAACUAAUCUCAUCUCAUUUCCAUCUCAUCCCACCUUUUCAUAACAUAUCCAAACAAUAGAACAUAAAAAUAUUUCACUCCAUCUCAUCUCACCCCACUCCCUGCCACCAAUCCAAAUAUAGCCUAAUGAUGGCAUAGUGUAUAUUUGACUGUGGAUAAAUGAUGAAGAUAUAAACUAAUUAGAGUAAAUAGAUAUGAUGAGAUUUUAGCAAGGUAAUUAUUUUGUUAAUUAUUUUUGUAGUUUAAUGAUAAUCUUUUAUUUUAAAGCAAAGGUAAUGUAGGAAUUAAAAAGUUAUAACUCAUUCCGCUCCAUCCAUUAUCCAAAAAGGGGCGUGGUAACUUUAAUUUGUUAUGUUCCAUCAUUAAAUACCCAAACAAUGGGAUGAGAUUUUUAUUCCAUUCUGUUCUGCUCCAUUAUAUUUCAUUACGUUCCGCUCCGUUAUGUUUCAUCAAUCCAGCCUAAAUGUUUGCAUAGAUUAACACAUCACGAUAGCAAAAUAACAAUAUAAGGAACAAUGGCUGAAAAUGGUGGGUGGAUGGUUGACCAAAAAUAUGUAUACUGCAUGUUUGCACAAACUAUAUAUUAAUUAAUCAGGUUCUAGUACUUUUUGAGAUAAAUAUGUUGAGAUUGAUACUUUGAGACACUAUUACAACACUAGUAGCAGAUUAGGUAGACCAUCACAACACGUUCAACAGAGGAAUAUGUAGCAGCAAAUGCUAGGAUAAGCUAACUUCAAUUUUAGAAUUGAGAACUUAAUUUUCAAGUAUACACUAUUUGUUCCCCUUCUUCAUGUAACUUUUGUCAUGGACAUGAUUAAAGUUGUAUAGUGCAAUUUCUCAAACUCAAUGGCUUGUGAAAUCUUGUGUGCAAACCUUGAGAAUAAUUCAUCCAUGAUACCUUUGCCAAAUGCGGCAGAGUAAAGUGGUUCCACGACGGAUCUGAGGGUCUUGGAAAUUAACUCUCCUUUAAUUUUGGUAUCCAUGUCAUGUGGAAGGUGUCCAUCCAAACUUAUUUGGAUAGUUUUCAGUGUUUGAAGGGUAAAAGAUCCUUCUGCCUCAAUUAUUUGUUUGACUUCCUCCACAGUAGGAAUAUAUAUAGGCAUAUUAAAGCAAUCUAAUUUAGUCUCUUCAAGCAAACCCUGCAUUUAUAUUAAUUUAUAGGGAACAAUAUUAGUUACUACCAAAUAGGAAUAACAUGUUAUAAACUACAGAAAAACAUUACAUUCCAGUUAGUUUCUUGAAAAUCUAGUAAUAAUGGUAAUCAAAAUUGUAUUCGUUGCAUACCUCCAAGACCAUGUCCUUCAGUACCAACUCAAUUAAGUCCUGCGUAGUACCCUUUUCAAAUGCAGCAUUUUCUCUUCCCAGUAAAGAUAGUACCAUACUUCCAUCAAGUGUUAGUUCGUUCGAACGUGAUCGAAGAAAUAGAUUGAAAUCUCUUUGGAAUUGCUCAAAAUAUGCUUUAUACACUAUUUUAGGACUUUUGAUUGUUAAAUAAAUAUGACCCUUGUUCAGUGGUUCUGCCCCUUUAGUCAAUUCUUCUGGAGACUGUUCCGGAAAAAGCAAUAGACACACACAAAUGAUAUUAUUUUGUGCUUUGCUUCACAAACACAACUUUAACAACUUUAAUAUAUAUAUUAAUAAAUACCUGCGAGAGCCAAUGAAGACUAUUCGAAGAAUGAAAGAAAUCGAUGUAAUUAUUAGGAAAGAGCCUCCCAUAGAAGUUCCCUGGAGUUGCAUUUAUAAAGCAUGCUCCAGCUUUGUCUCCCCUAUCUUGUAUCUUUUGGUAGAAAUCAGGAAGUAACUUGAAGAUACCAUUAAAAUCGUUUCCAAAAAGAUCACUAAGAUAAACUUGGAGUAUGGGCACCUCUUGCUUUGAGCCCAAUCUAGUUGUGUUGAUGACGCUCAUUAUAUCGGACACGACCAGAAGUGAAUUUGGUCCUGAAGAGCAUCCUAAAUCUGCCACUUUCAAAUUACUUUUAAAAGUGGUGUGAUGCAACAAUGUCUUAAUACUUUCUUCUAGUAUUGACUUCAUUUCAAAUAACACUUUUCUCUGCAAUAAAAAAAACUUGGUUACAACAAUGACGACGCCAACAAUAAUAAGCCAAAUGUUAUCCCAUAAUCUUAGGGACAGCUGUGAUAUAAAAAAUUCAAAAUGAUGAUCUGUAGGUUAUUAGCUGAAUCUGUUUUAUUUUGGCAUUCCUUGAGAUUUUCUCUAUGGUGUUAUGAUGUUAUAGGGAUGCCAUUUUAGAAACUGAGGUUUAUUUUGAAAUUUUUUGGGGUGGUGUUUUGGAUGAGAUUUUAUUGUAUAAGGUUGUAUAUCCGUCAUGAGAAUGGUUGUUUCUCAUGUUCUCUUAAUUUUAUGAAUAUAACUCUUGCUUUAAAAAGAAUUAUUUUUCAAUAAAAAAUUAUAUUUUCUAUAAUUUUUUUACCAGAAGUUCGAGGGAGAGUAGAAGUAGUAACAAGAAGAGAAUGCAUACAAUGGAAAAGUUCAAGGGAGCAUAUGAUUAUUGAGUAGGCAGCUGAGGUUCUUUCUCCCUUGAGAAAUUAAUCCGGUAAGUUAAAUAUUAAUUCGAUCUCUUUACUUACUAUUGACACCAAAAUAUUGGCUGAUGCAGAAUGGUUGUAAACUAAUUUAAUCGAGUCAAGGUUAGCUCAGAGCAGACAAGUUUAUUUUUUAUAUGCUAAAUAAUGAUAUUAAUGUGGAGCACAAGGGGUGCCCCAUCCGAUACAAAGGAAAAACAAAAGUCUAAAUAACAAGAAACAUCCUACAGCGUUCAAAUGAAGUAAAAAUCACAUACUCUAUAAAACUGACACAUUUCAACGGGCUUUGCCAACAAAUGAGAAGCGUUUUCGGAAUCCUUUGAGCUCUACGGCAGCAUGCUCCAGAUGUGGUUCCGAUUCAGAGGAUGCCAACCAUGUUUUUUGAGGAUGCCCUGACUCGCAGAACUUGUGGAGGAGCCUUGGUCCCUUGCUGCCGCGGCUUGACACUCAUGGGGACUUUGGAGCUUGGUUUGAUAUGCUUCUGUCACGUUGCAGCAAUAUUCUUCCCUUCGCAGUUUUAUGGUGGGCUUGGAAGUGGCGCAAUGAGUCUGUGCUAGGCACAAACUCAUGGCCACUGCAGUAUGUCCUAAGGCAGAUUAUAGUGGAUGCUCAGAGCUGGAAUCGGUGGCCUAACGCAGCGCCGAUUAGGCGUGUGGAACCAACGCCAGCACCCUUGGUGGCGAAUGAAGUGCAGCUGCACGUAGAUGGAAGCUGGAAUCCUGCUGCUCAGCGCAUGGGCUACGAGGCUUUUCUUCAAGACUCGAAUGAAAACUGGCUAUCUGGAGUGUCUGCAAGCAUGGGUACGGGGUCGUCGUUUCUUGUUGAGUUAUUAGCAAUGGAGCACGGGCUCCUCCAUGCUUGGAGUCUUGGUCACCGAGCUGUUCUUUGUAUGGCAGAUUGCAGGCAAGCUGGGGAUAUUGUGCAGCAGGAAGGAGAUGUUUCCAGUUAUUGGGAGAAGGAUGCUAUCGUAAGGCUCAGAGCUUUACUGAGCAGAAACUGGCAUGUGAGGCUUGUAUGGAUCCCUCGUGAGAAGAACUCUGCUGCAGAUACUAUGGCUCGGCAAGCAGUGCGUGACGGAGCAGGGCAUCGUGUUUGAGCCCAACCUCCUUUGGGUGUUUUGACAGCAUUGUAUGCUGAUAGUUUAGUGUAGCCCUUGUUUUAUUUUUCCUAUGUAACCAAAAAAAGUAUACACUAACACUGACUAUCCCUGUAACUUAUGAAUUGCCAGCUAGAGCUCAAUUUUGAGAAUGUAGCUGAUGAAGUGGGGAGCCGAAAGUGACAAGCUUUGCGUACGAAAUUGGACAAGAGCUCAAUUUUUAGAAUGUAGCCGAUGAAGUGGGGAGCCGAAGAGACAAGCUUUGCGUACGAAAUUGGACAAGAUAUCUUUCCA